UACGUAGGGAGCAAGCGUUGUCCGGAAUCAUUGGGCGUAAAGCGCGUGUAGGCGGUCCGAUAAGUCCGCUGUGAAAGUCGAGGGCUCAACCCUCGAAUGCCGGUGGAUACUGUCGGGCUUGAGUACGGGAGAGGCGAGUGGAAUUCCUGGUGUAGCGGUGAAAUACGCAGAUAUCAGGAGGAACACCGAUUGCGAAGGCAGCUCGCUGGAACGUUACUGACGCUGAGACGCGAAAGCGUGGGGAGCAAACAGG
rnacentral:rRNA from 1 species